rnacentral:rRNA from 1 species
AUGGCGGAUGCAAGGAACAAGUUCACGCAACCUGAUCAAGAUACACCCUUUGGGCGUCACUUGAAGGAAGUCACUCGAUACCUGAACAUAGGAGUACCAAGCUUCACCGGAACCUACAACGCCACUUUACCUGAAGAAGAGCGCUGGAUGAUUCAAGUUCAAGUUCCAGGAAGGACGUUCAUGCCAGUCACCGAGCCCAUAGAGUUUUCUUUUGAUGCACCAACUAGGAGUCUAGGAAAGAGCAUGGCAGCUCACAUCGCCAUGGGACGCAUUGGAGAAGUCUACCGCAAUGAUCUCAAGGAUACUAUCUACCAGAUUUGUGGGCGCAGAGAUGAGCACUGGGAGAUGAUCAGCACCAGGAAGGAUAGAUCAGUUGCAGCUUUUAUCCAAGAGUUAAACCAGCACAUUCGACGUCAGGAGAACCAGAUAUGCGCCGACAUGAUAGAUCUGAAGAAGGCGAGGACAAGGAUCAAGGAACUGGAGGAAGAACUCAAGGCUACACAUGAAGAUUACGAAGAGGAAAUCGAAGUAUUAGUGGAGAAGAAUGAUGAUCUGAUCAAGAAGAUCGAAAUAUUCAUGGGAGGCCCUACGCCAGUAGAAGAAGACGAAGAACCCAAGGAGAUUCGUCCGGAAGAUUACAUCAUCAUCGACGACACCGACUCGGAUCCGGACGAUAGUGAUGAUGACUAUGUUGAUGAAGCUGGAGCAGAUAUAAUGGAGUCUGCAACCGAAGAAUAUUUCUAG